rnacentral:rRNA from 1 species
CUACGGGCCGCAGCAGUGGGGAAUAUUGCACAAUGGGGGAAACCCUGAUGCAGCAACGCCGCGUGGAGGAUGACGCAUUUCGGUGUGUAAACUCCUUUUAUAUAGGAAGAUAAUGACGGUACUAUAUGAAUAAGCACCGGCUAACUCCGUGCCAGCAGCCGCGGUAAUACGGGAGGGUGCAAGCGUUACUCGGAAUCACUGGGCGUAAAGCGCGCGCAGGCGGCCCCUUAAGUUGGAUGUGAAAGCCUACGGCUUAACCGUAGAACUGCAUCCAAAACUGAGGGGCUAGAGUCUGGGAGGGGAAGAUGGAAUUUGUUGUGUAGGGGUAAAAUCCGUAGAGAUAACUAGGAAUACCAAAAGCGAAGGCGAUCUUCUGGAACAGUACUGACGCUGAGGCGCGAAAGCGUGGGGAGCAAACAGGAUUAGAUACCCUGGUAGUC